ensembl:snoRNA
AUUGAGGUGUAUCACGGUGGGUCCUUUCCUGUAGCUGCACGUUGUUGAAACACCCCAGAGUAACUUUGUGGUUUUGUUUCCCUCAAAGGAUUAUUAGGUCUCUGGGGAAAAUUUGCAAGACAGUU